GAUGAAGAACGUAGCGAAAUGCGAUAAGUAGUGUGAAUUGCAGAAUUUAGUGAAUCAUCGAAUCUUUGAACGCACAUUGCGCCCUUUGGUAUUCCUUAGGGCAUGCCUGUUCGAGCGUCAUCUACACCCUCAAGCACAGCUUGGUGAUGGGCGCCUGUCCCGCCCCCCACGGGGGCGCGGACUCGCCUCAAAUGCAUUGGCGGCCGGCGACCUGGCUUCGAGCGCAGCAGAAACGCGUACUCGGGGACCGGGCGCCCGCUCCCAGAAGCCAACCCACCCAGUUUGACCUCGGAUCAGGUAGGGAUACCCGCUGAACUUAAGCAUAUCAAUAAGGGAGGA
rnacentral:misc_RNA from 1 species